AACGAACGCUGGCGGCAUGCCUAACACAUGCAAGUCGAACGAGACCUUCGGGUCUAGUGGCGCACGGGUGCGUAACGCGUGGGAACCUGCCCUUAGGUUCGGAAUAACUCCCCGAAAGGGGUGCUAAUACCGGAUAAUGUCUUCGGACCAAAGAUUUAUCGCCUUUGGAUGGGCCCGCGUUGGAUUAGCUUGUUGGUAGGGUAAAAGCCUACCAAGGCGACGAUCCAUAGCUGGUCUGAGAGGAUGAUCAGCCACACUGGGACUGAGACACGGCCCAGACUCCUACGGGAGGCAGCAGUGGGGAAUAUUGGACAAUGGGCGAAAGCCUGAUCCAGCAAUGCCGCGUGAGUGAUGAAGGCCUUAGGGUUGUAAAGCUCUUUUACCCGGGAUGAUAAUGACGGUACCGGGAGAAUAAGCUCCGGCUAACUCCGUG
rnacentral:rRNA from 1 species